GGCAAGUGAUGUCCCUCAGGGUUCUGUUCUGGGACCCCUUCUAUUUAACAUGUUUAUAAAUGAUCUUGGAAAAAGCAUUGAAAGUCUUGUUUCAGUGUUUGCAGAGGACACAAAACUCUGUAAAGUAAUACAGUGUGAGCAAGAUAUUACCUUGCUGCAGAGGGAUUUAGAUAGACUGGGGCACUCAAAUGGCAGAUUAAAUUUAAUGUAGAAAAAUGCAAAGUUAUACACGUGGUCUCAAGAAUGCACAAGCAACUUAUACCCUAAUGGAAGCGAAUUAGAGAUAACCACACACGAGAAGGACU